rnacentral:rRNA from 1 species
CAGGCCUAACACAUGCAAGUCGAGCGGAUGACGGGAGCUUGCUUCCUGAUUCAGCGGCGGACGGGUGAGUAAUGCCUAGGAAUCUGCCUAUUAGUGGGGGACAACGUUCGAAAGGAACGCUAAUACCGCAUACGUCCUACGGGAGAAAGCAGGGACCUUCGGGCCUUGCGCUAAUAGAUGAGCCUAGGUCGGAUUAGCUAGUUGGUGGGGUAAUGGCUCACCAAGGCGACGAUCCGUAACUGGUCUGAGAGGAUGAUCAGUCACACUGGAACUGAGACACGGUCCAGACUCCUACGGGAGGCAGCAGUGGGGAAUAUUGGACAAUGGGCGAAAGCCUGAUCCAGCCAUGCCGCGUGUGUGAAGAAGGUCUUCGGAUUGUAAAGCACUUUAAGUUGGGAGGAAGGGCAGUUACCUAAUACGUGAUUGUUUUGACGUUACCGACAGAAUAAGCACCGGCUAACUCUGUG